rnacentral:rRNA from 2 species
AGGUCCGAUCAUACCAGAAUUAAUGCACCGGAUCCCAUCAGAACUCCGCAGUCAAGCGUGCUAGGGCGAGAGUAGUACUAGGAAGGUUGACCUCCUAGGAAAUCCUCCUGUUGCACCUC